rnacentral:rRNA from 1 species
GAUAAACGCUGGCGGCGUGCCUUAUGCAUGCAAGUCGAACGAGACCAAGGCUUCGGCCUGAAGUCUAGUGGCGGACGGGUGAGUAACACGUACGUGACCUGUCCGGAAGUGGGAAUAACCAGCCGAAAGGUUGGCUAAUACCGCAUACGGUUACUGCUUGGAAGCAGCAAACCAAAGUCGCAAGACGCUUCCGGGAGGGCGUGCGGCCGAUUAGCUUGUUGGUGUGGUAACGGCGCACCAAGGCGGUGAUCGGUAGCUGGUCUGAGAGGAUGGUCAGCCACACUGGGACUGAGACAC